CACAUGCAGUCGAGCGGGCACCUUCGGGUGUCAGCGGCAGACGGGUGAGUAACACGUGGGAACGUACCCUUCGGUUCGGAAUAACGCUGGGAAACUAGCGCUAAUACCGGAUACGCCCUUUUGGGGAAAGGUUUACUGCCGAAGGAUCGGCCCGCGUCUGAUUAGCUAGUUGGUGGGGUAACGGCCUACCAAGGCGACGAUCAGUAGCUGGUCUGAGAGGAUGAUCAGCCACACUGGAACUGAGACACGGACCAGACUCCUAGGGGAGGCAGCAGUGGGGAAUAUUGGACAAUGGGCGCAAGCCUGAUCCAGCCAUGCCGCGUGAGUGAUGAAGGCCUUAGGGUUGUAAAGCUCUUUUGUCCGGGACGAUAAUGACGGUACC
rnacentral:rRNA from 1 species